CAAUAGCGUAUAUUUAAGUUGUUGCAGUUAAAAAGCUCGUAGUUGGAUUUCUGGUGGGAGCGAUCGGUCUGGCGCUUAGCGCGAGUACUUGCAUCGUCUCCGGCCAUCCUUGGGGAGAGUCUGUCUGGCAUUAGGUUGUCGGGCAGAGGAUCCUCAUCGUUUACUGUGAAAAAAUUAGAGUGUUCAAAGCAGGCUUAUGCCGUUGAAUAUAUUAGCAUGGAAUAAUAAGAUAGGACUUUGGUACUAUUUUGUUGGUUUGCGCACCAAAGUAAUGAUUAAUAGGGACAGUUGGGGGUAUUCGUAUUCCGUUGUCAGAGGUGAAAUUCUUGGAUUUACGGAAGACGAACUACUGCGAAAGCAUUUACCAAGGAUGUUUNCAUUA
rnacentral:rRNA from 1 species